rnacentral:rRNA from 1 species
UACGGGGGGGGCAAGCGUUGUUCGGAAUUACUGGGCGUAAAGGCUCGUAGGUGGCCAACUAAGUCAGACGUGAAAUCCCUCGGCUUAACCGGGGAACUGCGUCUGAUACUGGAUGGCUUGAGUUUGGGAGAGGGAUGCGGAAUUCCAGGUGUAGCGGUGAAAUGCGUAGAUAUCUGGAGGAACACCGGUGGCGAAGGCGGCAUCCUGGACCGGGAUGACACUGAGGCGCGAAAGCCAGGGGAGCAAACGGG